UCAAGUCAUCAUGCCCCUUAUGUCCAGGGCUUCACACAUGCUACAAUGGCCGGUACAAAGGGCUGCGAAGCCGUGAGGUGGAGCGAAUCCCUGCAAAGCCGGUCUCAGUUCGGAUUGGAGUCUGCAACUCGACUCCAUGAAGCCGGAGUCGCUAGUAAUCGCGGAUCAGCAAAGCCGCGGUGAAUACGUUCUCGGGGAUU
rnacentral:rRNA from 1 species